GGAGUUGUGGCUUAGUGGCAGAGCGCUUGCUUAGCAUGCGUGAGGCACUGGGUUUGAUCCCCAGCACCA
rnacentral:tRNA from 1 species